GAGUUUGAUCAUGGCUCAGAUUGAACGCUGGCGGCAGGCCUAACACAUGCAAGUCGAGCGGUAGAGAGAAGCUUGCUUCUCUUGAGAGCGGCGGACGGGUGAGUAAUGCCUAGGAAUCUGCCUGGUAGUGGGGGAUAACGCUCGGAAACGGACGCUAAUACCGCAUACGUCCUACGGGAGAAAGCAGGGGACCUUCGGGCCUUGCGCUAUCAGAUGAGCCUAGGUCGGAUUAGCUAGUUGGUGAGGUAAUGGCUCACCAAGGCGACGAUCCGUAACUGGUCUGAGAGGAUGAUCAGUCACACUGGAACUGAGACACGGUCCAGACUCCUACGGGAGGCAGCAGUGGGGAAUAUUGGACAAUGGGCGAAAGCCUGAUCCAGCCAUGCCGCGUGUGUGAAGAAGGUCUUCGGAUUGUAAAGCACUUUAAGUUGGAGGAAGGGCAGUAAAUUAAUACUUUGCUGUUUUGACGUUACCGACAGAAUAAGCACCGGCUAACUCUGUGCCAGCCG
rnacentral:rRNA from 1 species